AGUUUGGAACACCCAAACCGGAUAAAUCUGAAUCUGAAAAAACAAGUGGAGAAAUAAAAAAAUAUCCGUAUAAGUGGAUUUGCGUGGUUGAACUUUUACGGAUCGAUGACGUCAAACCGCAGCUCGCGCAUGCGAAUUAAAAAGAAAAACAACAACGAUGGCGGACAUACAGGGUAUUCUUUACGUUUGUUUUGCCUUUUUGGGGCUAAUUUCAGCCUUGCAAGUGAACCUUGUUUUAUACAAUUACAUCCACCAGUCAGCCAGCUCACAGAGGCGUCUGCUUUGUUACAGCCGCCACACCGUCACAUGGACCCGCCGCACUAGCGUAGCUUCCACAAACAAUGCAUGACGCAUCACGCUGUUACGAUUCAUCGGCCAAUCAGGUAGCUUUGUUCCUGAAUUUUUUUUUAAGCGGCACCAGAUAGGAUUGAGUUUGAAGGCUACGUGUGGACGCAGAUAUUUUUGAGAACUAACACGUGUGGACAGAUACAUUUAUUUAGACGGGAGUACAAAAAUAUCCUGAUAAAUAAAUAUCUAUAUACAUGUAGUCCGGGCCAUAGUUGGUACUGAUCUUGAAGACCCUGUGGACAAAACAGUGCCUCUUAUUUCUCUCUUGACACAGUCCUGUGCAAACGUAAGUAGUGUUUGUGAACUAAGCCUCACCCCUCUGUCUCAUCCAGAAUCUAUUUGUGCUGUAUGAAAUGUACCCUGCAGCAGCAGUUCCAGACAUUAAUAGCUAUUUAGAGGUAUUAAAUAUUCCCAUAAUGGUCUUGUGAGUUUUAAUAUAUCAUCUAAAGCUAUCAGAAUUAAUGUCUAUCUUUUCCAUAACCAAAUAAAAAGUCUUUUAGCAGCCCCAACAUAAAGCCUCUAUUUCUCUUUUUGAAGCAGCCUAAUUUAUUUCUUUUGGGAUUUGUUGUCAUUUGAAUUUGAUUCUUGUUCAACUUAAUAUUUCUAGAUCUCUGCUGCUGAACAGUUUUCUAACUUGCUGGUGUAAAGAAAUCAGAGAGGCUUUGCUUUAGCCAUAAUUGCAGCACAUUAGGUGCCAUUUUGCACCUGUUCUGCCCAUUUUAACCACAUUUUAAUCACAUUUUUGUCAUUGCUAUUUAACAAACCAGUAUUUUGAUGGCUCUUGUCUGGAAAAAAAAUGUGUUAUUUGACAGUGUGUUUUGAUCAUGCCAGGUGUUAACAUUGUAGUAUAAAGCCUGUGCUCACUGUGGUUUUAUCUAAUGAACUCUUGCUCCUGCGCCACACACAGGUUUUACGUUUGGAGAAGGGUCUGCUCAGUGUUCUGC